rnacentral:rRNA from 1 species
GCUCAGAGAGGGGUCAAUGUCCUAUCAGCUAGUUGGUAAGGUAAUGGCUUACCAAGGCUAAGACGGGUAGCCGGCCUGAGAGGGUGGUCGGCCACACUGGGACUGAGACACUGCCCAGACUCCUACGGGAGGCUGCAGUCGAGAAUCUUUCGCAAUGCCCGAAAGGGUGACGAAGCGACGCCGCGUGUGGGAAGAAGGCCUUCGGGUUGUAAACCACUGUCGGGAGUUAAGAAAUGUAAGGGUGUUAAUAGCAUCCUUACUUGACUAAGGCUCCGGAGGAAGCCACGGCUAACUCUGUGCCAGCAGCCGCGGUAAUACAGAGGCGGCAAGCGUUGUUCGGAAUUAUUGGGCGUAAAGAGCACGUAGGCGGCUUUGUAAGUCAGUUGUGAAAGCCUUCCGCUUAACGGAAGAACAGCAUCUGAUACUGCAAGGCUAGAGUGCGGAAGGG